rnacentral:rRNA from 1 species
GACGAACGCUGGCGGCGUGCUUAACACAUGCAAGUCGAACGGAAAGGCCCUGCUUUUGUGGGGUGCUCGAGUGGCGAACGGGUGAGUAACACGUGAGUAACCUGCCCUUGACUUUGGGAUAACUUCAGGGAACUGGGGCUAAUACCGGAUAUGAGCUCCUGCUGCAUGGUGGGGGUUGGAAAGUUUCGGCGGUUGGGGAUGGACUCGCGGCUUAUCAGCUUGUUGGUGGGGUAGUGGCGUACCAAGGCUUUGACGGGUAGCCGGCCUGAGAGGGUGACUGGCCACAUUGGGACUGAGAAAGCGCCCAUACGCCUACGGGAGGCAGCGGUGGGGAAUAGUCCACAAUGGGCCGAAGCCGGAUGCAGCAACGCCGCGUGCUGGAUGACUGCCUUCGGGUUGUAAACCGCUUUCGCCUGUGACGAAGCGUGAGUGACGGUAAUGGGUAAAGAAGCACCGGCUAACUACGUG